rnacentral:lncRNA from 1 species
UUUCUCCAGAACCACACCCACCUGACUCCAGUCACCACUCAGCAAUCCCACCAGGGAUUAAUUCACUGACUAGAUUAAGGUUAUGACCCAAUCUUUUCUCCCCCAACCUUCUUGCAUUGUCUCACACAUGAACUUUGGGGGGACCCCUCACAUCCAAACCAUACUAGUUUCCCAGGCUGGCCUUGAAUUUGUGGUCCUCCUUUCUCAGCCCCCACAGUAACUGGGAUUACAGGUGUGCACCACCAUGCCUGUUUUACAUUAAUCCCUUAUUGCAUGAAUAGUUAGCAAAUGCUUUCUCCUAUUCUUUUUGAAUCAAAUGGGGUAUAAUUUGUCAUUUUUCCAAGUGUACGGGUUGCAGAAUCACAUUGGCUACACAGACACGUAUAUACACACAGCAAUACUAGUGUCUAUUUUAUUCUGCUGCCCUUCCUAUUCCCCCUUCCCCUCCCCUCCCCUCCCAUCACCUCUCUCUACCCAAUCUAAUGUGACACAUUUUUUUUUUCAAUAAGGACAGCCUCCCAUCAAUAAAAACUGCAUGGGAAAAAAAAAAAGGUACGUGGCUUUGAAUGUAAGAACCGGGGAGUAACAAAUCACUGGGUUAGCUCAGCACCCCAGGGUGGUUCCAGGUACAAACAGAUGCCACAGGCACCAGGUGAGGACUCUGUUGACUAUUCAGAGAGUAGGAAUUCUGGAUGCUUGCACCACCUAAAGUCAUCAAUUGCUAUUUUCUAUUUUGUUUAUUUAGUUUUUGUGUGUUUGUUUAUCUUUUUCCACAUUUUUAUUGGUGCAUUAUAGUAGUACAUACAAAUGGUAUUUGUUAUUACAUAUUCAUAUAUACACAUUUACAUAAUUUGGCCGAUAUUACUCCCCAGUAUUUCCCCACUCCCCCUCAUUUGCCACCCCUUGGUCCUCCUCUACUGAUCUCCCUUUGAUUUUUAUGAAAUCCACCCCCAUCUUUCUUUUCCUUUUCCUCUCUAUCUUCUGCAUAUGAAAGAAUAUAUAUGACCUUAUUCUCUUGAGUUUGACUUAUUUUGCUUAACAUAAUGGUUUCUAGUUCCAUUCAUUUUCCUGCAAAUCAGAUAAUUUCUUUUUUAUUUAUGGCUGAAUAAAAUUCCACUGUUUAUAUAUACC